rnacentral:lncRNA from 1 species
GCUCAUUCCUCUGGCCCUCCUGGUAUCUACAUUUCUGAGUAGUGCAUCUGUUUAGAAUGUAGAAGAGAAUUUGACUCAUGCAAUUUAACAGGCACAUGAGUCUCUGAUGUUAGUCGAUCUGGGAUCAUUGGCUACAGUCUGAAAAGUGAGCAAAAUGGUUCUCUCCUCUUCUCUGUCUGCAUUCAGUAACGCUAGCUGGUCUUCCGUAUACUGAAGGACACAAGAAGGAGCCAACAGACGUCAACAUCUGAUUUAGAGAAUAUGAGCAACCAGAGGGCAGCUUGUGCCUCUCCUUUCUGAAUUGUCAGAAGCCAGCAUCGGAGUGACGUGCAGGAGGAUGAACAACAAAUGCUUGUUGAAUUAGGAGAUUGAAUUAGUGAAGCACAGUGGAUGGAUGCUGAAUGAAUGACUAAACAGAAAACGUCUCCGGUGAGAAAAGAAAGACUAAGUUUUCCAAGUGAGGUUUUGUGUGUGUGUAUGUUUCGACUGAUAAAAGCUAGACAAUAUGAGCUCAUCUCUUCGGAGUUUAUGAAAACUUACCUGUUGAAAAAGACUGGUGAAGAAAUGGUAGGAAGAAGACAUUUUUAAAGUUGGUGGAUUUCUUGCCAAUAUCUUCACUUGGGAGGACAUUCCAAUGGCGUCCUGUGGGAGUGAUAUCCCGCUCUGAAAGGCACGAUACAAGGUGAGGUAAAGGCCAUUUGGAGGUGCUUGUGAUUCUGCUGCACGAUGUUCAGAUCCCUGACUCCCCACGGAAUGAAUCUAUCAGACUUAAUUGCAUUUUCCUUCAACUUUGAAAACAUUCCAUUGGAAAACACUCCAGUGUCAGUUGUUAUUAUCAAGGGCUAUUCUGAUGACUUUGAAGAUCGCUUAAAGACCAAUAUCCACUAGCGGAGAAAGAGGCCAAGAAAUUACAGGAAGUGAUUCACAAAGAGGUGAUAUGGGAAAGACCUGUGGAACAUGGUUGGUGCUGAGAAUGGGGAGAAACAAACUGAAGAGAGUUCAGAAGAGAAGAUUUUGGUGACAGCAUUUCAGAUGGAUUGAAGAGGCAAAUAAUUAAAUGUAGGAAGAUCUGGGAAAGGAGAAGCUGCAGAGUGCAAAAUGUUACGUGUGCACCAACCUAAUAAAAAAGUAAAAGUCAACCUUGAAAACAGAGAGACCCAAUAUGUCAAAAAGCCUCAGAAUGUUUCCAUUGUUUUCCAUGUCUGUGGCCUCAUUCUUAGCCGAACAUUUUUCAACUCAGUCAACAACUUUACAACAACAUCACGUCUACAAGAACCAAAGCCAGAAGCCAGAAGCCAGAAUCUGAAGUGCAGUGAAGAUGACCUGCAGAGUUGAGCUGUCUGGAGCACAGAUCAGGGCAAAGGACGAGAGUGGUGGUGUAUGUCAUGGAGUGGGAGCGGGUGUUAAUGAAAAUAGCACAUAUGAUAAAGUAAGAAGGUA